AAAAUAACAAUGAUUUCCUUAGUAACGGCGAGUGAACAGGAAAAAGCUCAAAGUUGGAACCUGUUUGGCCUAGCUAAACCGGAUUGUAAACUGUAGAAGUGUUUUCCAGGCAAGCCGGACCGAUAAGUCCUUUGGAACAGGGCAUCAUAGAGGGUGAGAAUCCCGUCUUCGGUCUGAGCAUUUGCCUUUUGCGAUACACUUUCAAAGAGUCAGGUUGUUUGGGAAUGCAGCCUAAAUUGGGUGGUAAAUCUCACCUAAAGCUAAAUAUUGGCGAGAAACCGAUAGCGAACAAGUACCGUGAGGGAAAGAUGAAAAGAACUUUGAAAAGAGAGUUAAACAGUAUGUGAAAUUGUUAAAAGGGAACCGUUUGGAGCCAGACUGGCUUGUCUGUAAUCAGUCUAAGCUUCGGCUUGGAUGCACUUGCAGGCUAUGCCUGCCAACGACAAUUUGGCUUGAGGGAAAAAACUAAGGGAAAUGUGGCCCAUCCGUGGGUGUUAUAGUCCCUUAGAAAAUACCUUGGGCUGGAUUGAGGUACGCAGCGAAUGCUAUUUGGCGAGUUGGCUGGGAAUAUUUUCUGAGGUGCUUUGGUACUGAGGUUGAUAUUCCUAGUUACACUUCUAUUCGCUUAGGUUGUUGGCUUAAUGACUCUAAAUGAC
rnacentral:rRNA from 2 species